rnacentral:rRNA from 1 species
AUUGAACGCUGGCGGGAUGCUUUACACAUGCAAGUCGGACGGCAGCACGGACUUCGGUCUGGUGGCGAGUGGCGAACGGGUGAGUAAUGUAUCGGAACGUGCCCAGUAGCGGGGGAUAACUACGCGAAAGCGUGGCUAAUACCGCAUACGCCCUACGGGGGAAAGCGGGGGACCUUCGGGCCUCGCACUAUUGGAGCGGCCGAUAUCGGAUUAGCUAGUUGGUGGGGUAACGGCUCACCAAGGCGACGAUCCGUAGCUGGUUUGAGAGGACGACCAGCCACACUGGGACUGAGACACGGCCCAGACUCCUACGGGAGGCAGCAGUGGGGAAUUUUGGACAAUGGGGGCAACCCUGAUCCAGCCAUCCCGCGUGUGCGAUGAAGGCCUUCGGGUUGUAAAGCACUUUUGGCAGGAAAGAAACGGCGCCAGCUAAUACCUGGCGCUAAUGACGGUACCUGCAGAAUAAGCACCGGCUAAC